rnacentral:rRNA from 1 species
AGCGAACGCUGGCGGCAGGCUUAACACAUGCAAGUCGAACGGGCACUUCGGUGCUAGUGGCAGACGGGUGAGUAACACGUGGGAACGUACCUUUCGGUUCGGAAUAAUUCAGGGAAACUUGGACUAAUACCGGAUACGCCCUUCGGGGGAAAGAUUUAUCGCCGAUAGAUCGGCCCGCGUCUGAUUAGCUAGUUGGUGAGGUAAUGGCUCACCAAGGCGACGAUCAGUAGCUGGUCUGAGAGGAUGAUUAGCCACAUUGGGACUGAGACACGGCCCAAACUCCUACGGGAGGCAGCAGUGGGGAAUAUUGGACAAUGGGCGCAAGCCUGAUCCAGCCAUGCCGCGUGAGUGAUGAAGGCCUUAGGGUUGUAAGGCUCUUUUGUCCGGGAAGAUAAUGACUGUACCGGAAGAAUAAGCCCCGGCUAACUUCGUGCCAGCAGCCGCCGUAAAAC